UAUGAAGGUGAUCUGGUUGUCACAUCUGUCACCCCACUGAUCACCAGGGUUGAUAUGGCUGAUGUGGUUGGCUAGGUAGGUCCCAUCCUCCUUCACUGAACCAUGUGCAUCCUUCCUGAACCUGUGCCUUUGAUGGAAAAGGACAACCUUCUCUGAUAGAGAAGGACCAUUUUUUGGUCAAGUGCAAAUGAGUAGAUGUGCUCCCCUUGGUAGAACCUCCAAACAUUCUCUCAAGUGUCCACUGAUUCAGGUUUGUGAGACACAAGCUGCUGUUGUGAAGAGACAGAUAUUUCAAACACUUAAACUCAAACCUUU
rnacentral:snRNA from 1 species